GAAAAGUUUUAUUUUAUCUUUGUAAUUAGCUAUUUAAUUUAUUUAUAUGUGUACUUUUUGUCAGGGGGGAAUUUCGCAGUAUUUAGUAUUAGUAAAUGAAUUAUUGUUUGAUCUAGAAAUUUAAUUGGGUAUAAACUAAGGUUGUGCCAGCAGUUGCGGUUAGACAAUCUAUGCUAGCUAAUUUUAUUUAAUUUGGUUAAUAUUAAUAUUUUUGAAUUUAUUUUAAUUUUUGUUAGGUGAAAUUUUAAUUUUAUUUAAGUUUCUUUUUGUUUUUGAGGCCGUGAAAAUUUUAUUUAAACUAGGAUUAGAUACCCUAUUAUUUUAAUUGUAAUUUUGUUGUUAAAAUUAUUAGUAGUUAUGAUCUUGAAAUUUAAAGGAUUUGGCGGUAUUUUAGUCUAUUCAGAGGACCCUGUCUAAUAAAUGAUAAUCCACGAUUAGUUUUACUUUGCCUAUUAGUUUGUAUAUCGUCGUAUUAAGAAUAUUUUUUUAGAAUUUUAAUAUUCGUUAAUUUGUUGAGAGUGAUAGUUCAGAUCAAGGUGUAGCUUAUGGCAAAGAUAGGGUGGGGUACAAUAAAUUUAUUUUUGGUUUUAGUUCUUAAACGAUCUUAAUAAAUUGGAUUUGAAAGUAAUUAUUUAUAUAUUUUGGUAAUGAUUGUUGGCUCUAAAAUAUGCACAUAUUGCCCGUCGCUUCUGCUUUUUGUGGAAUAAGUCGUAACAAAGUAGGCUUAUUGGAAAAUGAGUCUGGAAAGAC
rnacentral:ncRNA from 1 species